rnacentral:lncRNA from 1 species
AAGAGUAAUGAGAUGUUUGUCUCUUAAGAUCAUAUAAAAUCUUUGGAAAAUCAUUUGGGUUUUAUAUUCUGAGUAUAAACAAUUUGACUAAAAACUAUUCUGUGCGUUUAGGCAUCAGAAAUUGUUGAAUAUGAAGAAGACGCACACAUAACUUUUGCUGUAUUGGAUGCAGUAAAUGGAAAUAUAGAAGAUGCUGUGACUGCUUUUGAAUCUAUACAAAGUGUUGUUUCUUAUUGGAAUCUUGCGCUGAUUUUUCACAGGAAGGCAGAAGACAUUGAAAAUGAUGCCAUUUUUCCUGAAGAACGAGAAGAAUGCAAAAAUUAUCUGAGAAAGACCAGGGACUACCUAAUAAAGAUUAUAGAUGACAGUGAUUCAAAUCUUUCAGUGGUCAAGAAAGUAAGUAGCAGGUUGUUGUAUGUACGUUCUUACUGAUAACCCACUGGUCAAUGUUUUUGCGUUGGUCUUAUAUUUUGGUAAUUU